UCUUGAUUGGUCUAGUGGUUAGGAUACCUGCUUGUCAUUAGACGACAAACUAGUGUUUUUCACGAUAGUGAAAGAUAUAGUAGUCGAUAAAUACAAGCCGCAGGUGGCCGGGGUUCGAUUCCCCGAUCGAGAG